GACCUGUUUCUGAGACCAGCUUCCUCCUUAUAGGGGGAUGCGGUUUUCCGUAUGGACUGCUCACGCUGAUCAGAUGUGUCCUCUGAAAGGCAGAAACAGGGGAAGGUGCGUCCUCGUCGGGCUCCCGCCUGUACCUUCCUAGUACCUCUGGCCAGCAGCCUGUGUGCCCGCGCUCCCUGGACAUCCGUGAAUGUUUGAUGCUACAUCUCUACCCAAACUGAAGCUUCCCGCCUGCACUCUGUCAACGGCACUUGCGGGCGGGGCGGCGGGGGGCAACUUUUGGAACAGAAAGCUCCACCCAUCCUACUCCCUACUGCCUGCAAUCAAACCGGCUAAAACACCCCACCUCAGACU
rnacentral:lncRNA from 1 species